CUUCCCUCCUGCCGGUUACUGAAAUCUUGCGCCCCCAGAGCCGGUGCGCCCUAAGGCGGCUGUCUGUGCAAGUAUUGCACCGAGAAUCCUUUAUAUUGAAUAUACUGCACUGGGAAGCCUUCAUAUUGCAUAUAUUGCACUAGGAAUCCUUUAUAUUGCAUAUAUUGCACCGGGAAGCCUUCAUAUUGCAUAUAUUGCACUAGGAAUCCUUUAUAUUGCACCGGGAAGCCUUCAUAUUGCAUAUAUUGCACAGAGAAUCCUUUAUAUUGCACAUAUUGCACCGGGAAGCCUUCAUAUUGCAUAUAUUGCACUAGGAAUCCUUUAUAUUGCAUAUAUUGCACCGGGAAGCCUUCAUAUUGCACAUAUUGCACAGAGAAUCCUUUAUAUUGCAUAUAUUGCACUGGGAUAUUCCAGC